GCCCAUGAUGUCACCAGGCCUGCUGGGCUUGCUCUGCCAAGUAUUCCCAGAGCGGUGAUUUAAUUUUGGCUGUGUCACUACUGCUAUGUCAGCUGUGCUGCCGCGAAAGCAGCUCUCAUGUCGUUCCAGCUGGGCUGUCGCUGUCUUUCAAAAUCCUCGUCGUGUGUGACACUACAAAUGGACAAGUCAGCAAGGUACUAGCUUGUAAUAAUGAAUUCUAAUUGCACAUAUGGGUAGGAUCGGCAGCGCUUCGGGAUGCGUUAACACGGUUGGCAUUUGUCGUGGGGCAUGAUCUGAGGCUAGCAAAACUAAAUAGCAGCCUGAAUAAAACGAGCUUUCUGCAAACUCAUGCUAGCCAGGGGUGUAGAUGUUUGCCUGCUCCAGACCUCGACAGAAUGGCUCCAUGGAUAGAGGCCAUCGGCAGGUACUUUGCCUGUGAGAAUGGGGACUUUCUGUCCUGAUGUGGAUCCUCCUAAUCCAAAAUAAAGGUUAUUUCUCUGCAUUCCACUACUGCAAUUAAAAACAGACCAAACAGGGCUUCUCACCAUGUGAUGGACAUAGAAAUAUGCAUGUUUGCCAGCUCCUCAUUUAAGCAGAGGCACAGUAGUUUUCCCUUUGUAGUUCCAGUAGAUGGAGCAGCUCCUGUCCCCACCCAGCUCCCCAGGCUCUCUGCUGCAGCUUUCUCGUUUGCUCUGGGCUUGUCCUGCUCCUGAGCUUCACAAGCAAACUGCGUGUCAAAAGGAAAAUGAGGAAUAAAUAGGUAAAAGACCAACAUGCAUCCAUGAGCCUAAAAUUUCAAAUGGAGAAGUAGAACGAGUGCUGGAAAGAAAGCAGUUUGACAAAAAAAAAAAAAAAAAAAAAAAAAAAAAAAAGGAAGAGAAUGGAUUUAGUUGGGUGCACAGCUGUCCCAUGAAAGAGUCCCCUUUCAUCUACUUAAUACCUCUUUCCCUGCAGGGACAUGUGCAAACUUGACCACUGGCUGUGCAGUAAGCUGACACUUGUUUUUUUAGCUCACACAAAUCACCUAACGUCAUUCAGCUCUUUGGUGGGUGAAACGGAGCCAGGGCGCAAAUCCCACAGAGGUGGAGAGGUGGCCCCCCAGACCCCAUCCCAGCAGCUCACAUUGCAGCCCGUCACUGCUACAGGGCUCUGGACCAGCCGGACUAGCACUAAGCCAGGCCCUACAGUCCCACCUCCAUGCCACAGCACAGGCACGACCCUGAGGACCAACCUUCACCCUCCUGAAACUCCACAAAUUGGUGUCUGCAAAGAAGGAACCAGAAGCUGCAACCUCCUGCUCAUUCCUUCUCAUGGAAACAGGAGGCAACACAAGGCAGAAACCACCACAUGCCUGGCAUACAUGCCUGGUGAUGCUCACAUCCCAGUGGGAUCUCCAUGGACUCUGAGCAUCCCCACAAGCAGGAGGAUGCAUAGGCAAAGCUCAGACUGUGAGAUCCAGAUCCAAAGAAGCAUUUGUAUUCCUAACUGCUGUGGAGGUACAGAAAUCUCAGUGAAAUCAGAAGGAUCUCAGCACCCAGAGAGAAGCCAGCUGAUUCUGCCAGUUGAGCAUGGAAAGACACCAGAGUGGAGAAAAUCAUCGGGAGAAAAGGCUUUUGGAGCGAAGAUCGCCGUACGUCACUUGAAGAAAGUUGCUAGAAUUAGCUCACUUGAAUUCCUGUGGAGCUGGGAGGUGUUUGGAGAGACACCUGCUUCAAGGCACCACAGCUCUGGUUUUGGCCCCAUAGGACAUCCCCACCUACCGAUGGAGGCACCAACAAAGGGUGGGCAGGUGUUGUGUCCUGGCUAA
rnacentral:lncRNA from 1 species